rnacentral:rRNA from 1 species
AGAUUAGAGUUUGAUCCUGGCUCAGAGUGAACGCUGGCGGCAGGCCUAACACAUGCAAGUCGAACGGCAGCAUGAGAGAGCUUGCUCUCUUGAUGGCGAGUGGCGGACGGGUGAGGAACACAUCGGAAUCUGCCCAGUCGUGGGGGAUAACGUAGGGAAACUUACGCUAAUACCGCAUACGACCUACGGGUGAAAGCAGGGGAUCUUCGGACCUUGCGCGAUUGGAUGAGCUGAUGUCGGAUUAGCUAGUUGGCGGGGUAAAGGCCCACCAAGGCGACGAUCCGUAGCUGGUCUGAGAGGAUGAUCAGCCACACUGGAACUGAGACACGGUCCAGACUCCUACGGGAGGCAGCAGUGGGGAAUAUUGGACAAUGGGCGCAAGCCUGAUCCAGCCAUGCCGCGUGGGUGAAGAAGGCCUUCGGGUUGUAAAGCCCUUUUGUUGGGAAAGAAAAGCGAUCGGUUAAUACCCGGUUGUUCUGACGGUACCCAAAGAAUAAGCACCGGCUAACUUCGUGCCAGCAGCCGCGGUAAUACGAAGGGUGCAAGCGUUACUCGGAAUUACUGGGCGUAAAGCGUGCGUAGGUGGUGGUUUAAGUCUGCUGUGAAAGCCCUGGGCUCAACCUGGGAAUUGCAGUGGAUACUGGGUCACUAGAGUGUGGUAGAGGGUAGUGGAAUUCCCGGUGUAGCAGUGAAAUGCGUAGAGAUCGGGAGGAACACCAGUGGCGAAGGCGACUACCUGGACCAACACUGACACUGAGGCACGAAAGCGUGGGGAGCAAACAGGAUUAGAUACCCUGGUAGUCCACGCCCUAAACGAUGCGAACUGGAUGUUGGGUGCACUUACGCACGCAGUAUCGAAGCUAACGCGUUAAGUUCGCCGCCUGGGGAGUACGGUCGCAAGACUGAAACUCAAAGGAA